rnacentral:rRNA from 1 species
UACGAAGGGGGCUAGCGUUGCUCGGAAUUACUGGGCGUAAAGCGCACGUAGGCGGCUCUUUAAGUCGGGGGUGAAAUCCUGGAGCUCAACUCCAGAACUGCCUUCGAUACUGAAGAGCUUGAGUCCGGGAGAGGUGAGUGGAACUGCGAGUGUAGAGGUGAAAUUCGUAGAUAUUCACAAGAACACCAGUGGCGAAGGCGGCUCACUGGCCCGGUACUGACGCUGAGGUGCGAAAGCGUGGGGAGCAAACAGG